CUCCGCGUGAUUACGGUCUCAGUAUAUAUACGCCUCGCCUUUUACUAGACGUAUCACGGCCAUAAUCACACUACGCGGAUUUUCCCAAUUUUUCUGAGCCUCGAAAGAGGCC
rfam:Klebsormidium nitens DNA, contig: KFL_714.